GUUUGAUCCUGGCUCAGGACGAACGCUGGCGGCGUGCUUAACACAUGCAAGUCUACGGAAAGGGAGAGCAGCAAUGUUUUCCCGGACAGUGGCGCAAGGGUGCGUAACGCGUAAGCAAUCUGCCUUUAGGAGAGGAAUAACUUCGAGAAAUCUUGGCUAAUACCUCAUGAUGCAGCGGCACCGCAUGGUGAUGUUGUUAAAGUUGCAGCAAUGUAACGCCUAGAGAUGAGCUUGCGUCUGAUUAGCUAGUUGGUGAGGUAACGGCUCACCAAGGCAACGAUCAGUAGCUGGUCUGAGAGGAUGAUCAGCCACACUGGAACUGAGAUACGGUCCAGACUCCUACGGGAGCAGCAGUGAGGAAUAUUGGCAAUCGCCCGCGAAGGGUGACCCAGCAACGCCGUGUGGAGGAUGAAGG
rnacentral:rRNA from 1 species